AAACUUUUUUGUGCGUGCCACACAGCAUUAUAUUAAGUAAUGUUUUAAAUAAGUUUAGCAGUUAAAUAAUUACUCACUCGUAUGCUAAGGAAAACCAUGACAAGUCACAAGUCAAUUUGUCAAUUUGUAACUAAUGAAAUGAAUUCUUAGAUUAAAGACAUUGAGCACUAGCAACGCAGGCUAUCGGCUCUAAACGGAAUUAAUGAAGGGGCAGUGUGCAGUAACGCAAUGUUGGUAUAAAUAUAAACAAUUUGAACACAAUUGGAGCAGUACGACGUAAAAUUAUAUCAUUGGCGAAAUUUAUAUUAUGUUAUAUUGCUUAAUUUGUUUAUGGAGAUUGCAUAUUGCUAUUGUAGUCAUUGUGUUGAGCACUUAAGUCAUCUAUAUACGUUAUACACAAUUUUCAAAUAGCAACUACAGUCACAUAUAUUAAAAACAAGUAUGAUGGUUGAUUGUUAUGUUAAGACGGAGUGUUUCGUUUCGUUUCAAAUUUCUACUAUGCCUCAGGACCAAAGGGAAGACACAAACGUUAACAAGAGGUUAUGAGAAGAUAAUCACGUAUCUGAAAGUCUAUGUUUUUGUUUUUCGGCUGGUUUGGGAUCGCAGAUAUGGAAGCAUUCAUCCUUGGUUGAUGAACAUCUUGUUUUUGGGAUGGGGGAAGUAUGCAAAACAGCUGUUAAAAAGACUUUCUCAUACUUGUCAAUACUUUGCGAAAGCAAAGUAGCUGUUUAAAGUUGAAUUUAUAAGAUGAUACAGUUCCAAUGCUCUUAAUUCGCCAAAGCGUGUAAUCAACUUUCAAUUUUUUCACAUUUCACCAUAUAAUGUCGCUAUCAUUGAUAAGAUGGACAGAUGUUAAUUUAUUUAUUCAUUUAUACAUGAAAUUCAUCUACAGAAAAUUGCAGUCGAAUUCAGUACAAGUUAAUAGAAAAUCUUACACUAAUUGUUUUAAAACUAGUAUACAAUAAA